rnacentral:tRNA from 1 species
GGUUAUAUGGCUCAGUGGUAGAGCGUGUGCUUAGCAUGCACGAGAUUCUGGGUUCAAUUCCCAGUGCCUUCA